GAAAUAACAAAACCGAUGAAUAAGCUUCUAACUUAAAUCUUAAGCGUUGUAAUACGUUUUUAUUUCU
rnacentral:tRNA from 1 species